CUUUUUAUUUAUUUGGCUUAAAUCUCUUCCAUCUCUUGAUCAUUUGUUCCCCUCUCACUCGGUCAUCAAUUCUCCAUUUAAGCCCUGCCUAGUCAUCUCGCAAGAUUACAGACCAUGGCUGCUGAGGCACCUAGCUGGGCUGAUCAAUGGGGUGCUGGAGGCAUUGGAGCCAUGGAAGAUGACAACACUACUACCAAGCAAGACGGACACAGCAAGAAGACGGAUUCUAAAAAGGGAUUUGGAAAAGCCAAAGCAGCAGCAUCAGUAGGAGCACAGAAGAUCAUCUGCGGGGCGUCCAGUGUCUUCAAAUGGGUCAAGAAUCUAUGCCAGAAAAAAGGUUCUUCCAAAUGAAUAUAUAGAUGAAUUAGAUCCUUUUCUUAUGUAUUAUGCUGAAUCAAGAUCUUCAGAUAGUCUUUAUCUGUUGUUUG